UAGGGUAAUAAGGGCUCCAUGGGGCUAAAAGAUUCCCUUGGGCCCUAGUCACUGCAGUCAACUCAGCUGGCAUCAGACUUGUGUCCAUGGGGAUAAGUACGAACGGCAAACUCUCCUGGGCUCCAGGAAGAGCGUCAGGGGACGCAGGUUGCUGGGUGCCUCGUGCAGAAAGUCGGAGGACUGACGAGUCCUAGCUUCAAAAGGAAGUAGAGAUCAAGCUCUUGCAUGGAGCAGGAAAACAGGAAAAUUCCAAUACAUCUCCGAGUAAUAGAGAUGUGGGAUGCAGCUUUCAUUUCACAUGUGGGCAGCAACCUUCUCAGGUACAAACCUCUAUAAGGGCAGCAAUACUGCAAGACUGUCAGUUUCACGCUGUGCUCUCUCCCUGGCUUGACUGUAGGGCGCCCCCUGCCGGCAGCUACAAGAGGAGCACACUGGGCUCCAGGACAAACUAUGAUGAUCGAGGCACAAGAAGGCAAAGUCCAGUGAUUGACACAGAAUCUUGUGUGCAUCCAGGCAGAAAAAAUCAUGGCAGAAGGAAGAUUCCUACCUGCAAGUACAAGGCUGCGUCACUCCCAACUGCAAGCCCGCACACUCUCAAAGGGGGCAGAAAAGCUGGGCAAGAACCAAGUCCCACUGGGGAAUGUAUCUUGAAAAUAAGGUAGACUCAGACAACAUCUCUCCCUAAAACCGAAAUGUUGAUAUAAAUAUCUGAAGAAAAAUUCUAAUCACAGCAUACAUUGAACAGGCUCACUGAUCUUGUAUACCUGGAAAAAGAUUUUCAAACAGACUUUGUCAGCUCAGCCUUGGCAAUCCUUGUCAAACAAAAGCAUGCCUAAAGACACAUUUCAAAAGCAAACGAGGCAGCACUUGCUAACCUGCAGAAAAUCGAAAAGGAAUGCAGAGGCCAAGAACAAACAGAAUAAGAACCAAUGAGAAAGAGAGCACAGUUCUG